AGGGAUAUGGGAGGGAGAAAGAAUUUGGAGAGACUAAGAACUUACGUGGGCGGGGUUGUCUAAUGCGCUUGCGCAAAAUCUUUGGUCGCUGUGUAAUGACGACCUAAUUAGAGGAUGGGUUAAACUUUGGUCUCUUGUUUCGAGGUUUCUUUCUUCCUACGGAAUACUGAGGAGGAUUGGAGGGAGGGGAUGUAAAAACCUCCAUGGUCUACUCACUGGGUGGUAGAUGGUCUCCCAGCUCUCUCUCAGGACUCCCCAGUGAUUGGCACUGGAAGACUUCUUGUUCAGGCAUAAAAAUGUAAGAAGAGCCCAGCUGGAUGAGACCAAUCGAGUUCAUUAUCCUGUUUUCCACAGCGGCCAACCGGAUGCCUCUAGGAAGCUCACAAGGACGACAUGAGCACAGUAGCUUUCUCCUAAUAGCUGUUCUCCAGCAACUGCUAUUCAGAGGCCAGACCAGCGGAACAACACGGCUGCUUGCCCACUCACCCAUUUUGAAUUUUGCUGGUGUCUUUGAAAAUAUACAGCAGAAUAUUUUUCUAAGGCACUGGAGCCUGUAGCUGUCUAGUUUAUAAUGAACCAAACUGUGGAAUAUCCUUGGUGCCGUCUUUCUACAGCCCCAAAGGCCCAGAGAGUGUACUGCUCGUGCUCCUGUUUCCAGGAAGUACAGUCAUGCCAUGUAAUAUGUAGAAUUUGUUCUCAUUACCUGUUUAUUUAUUAAAUUUCUAUCCCCCCCUUCCUCCCAGAAGGUGCACAGGGUGGCAUGAAUUAAUGAAUAUCUAAUCGUUAGAUUCCAGAGGGAUAAAAUUCACUAUGUCAAAGGUGCACAGCAGAUGCACUUAACAGUCAACCAAUUAGUUGUGCUUUUUCAAAAAAUGGCAGAAGGGAAGAAAGGAUUACUUACAACCUUUCCCCUCCAGCCAUUUUUCUGUUCAAAAUUCUGUGCAGCUACUUUUCCAGCUGUGGGAGGAAAAUAUAGCAGCUGGGAAGGAGGGGGAUUUGAGUGGGGAAUGGCCAAGCGAAAGGGAUUAAGCUGCCCCCUUCACUAUUCCUCUCCAUAGUUGUUUUUCAUUAGGAUAUUCAUUCAUGCAUGCAGUUCAUUCCAUUCAUUCUUAGGAGACUCUUGCAUAUGCCUGCUGUCAAAUGUUUGGCCCAAAUACUGCUCUCAAGGUUUAAAGUGCCAGAUGUUAUAUGUUCAACUCUAAAUUCAUAAGCACCUAUAAAUUCUCUGAAAAAUGCAGCACAGCAAAGGCUAAGUCUUGAAUUGCUAUUACCAAGGGGGUCACUAUAAUCAGGUUUCACGGCAUGCUCUCUUCUUAACACAAAAUAGCCCAGAGAGUGUGCUAGCACAAUCUUAUCUGUUUUGAUUUGGAUCAAGAGAUGCUUUAACUUCUUAUUACCACUGAAAAGCUUCAGAAUCUGCAAUUUCAUCUAUGCCCAUCAUAAUUGCUUUGCUUGGAGAGACAGACUCCUUUGCAUUGUGUCGCUGUGAAAAUUCAGACAUAGGCCUGAACUAUUUUUUAGCUGAGCAAGAUUAACUCCGUGCCCUACUCCCUUCCUGUUAUAUUAGUAAACAUAGACUCAUAAGAGUUGGAGGGAGCAUUAUAGUUCCUGCAGAAAAAUCUGGAGAUGAUGCAUCCCCAACAGAUGACUGCCCGAUCUCUGUUUGAAGAUCUCUAGGGUGUGAGAGCCCCCCCCCCUGUGCCAAGUAACUGGUUCCAUUGCUGAACUGUUCUUAGUUAAGAAGUUUCUCCUAAUGGAAUUUUCCCUCUUGUAGCUUAAGCCCUGUUAAAUCUAAUCCUAGGGGAGCCAUGUGUCCUACUUUACAGAGGACAAUCCUCUAUUCUGAAGGGACUAUCAGAUGACAGUCCUCUAUUUGAUGGGCUGCCCAAUCCAAGUCUGGUGGACAAGGAACCACUUUACACUCUUGAAGCACUCUACACUGUUUUGGUUCCUCUGUGUAUUUUGCAUCUCGUACCUAGUCUAUUGCCAAGCCUUAAGCAAUUCCACCCAGAGCCAAAUUCGCCAUGUUCUGUCUCCCACCUUGAACCUGAUAUCCACCAAGAAACACAGGACACUAAGUAGCCAAUUUGGGUACUUUUCCCUACAACCUGAACCAGUGCAUGGCUGCGACAAUGGACUGGAAGAGGGCUAAUAAACUGAGGCUCAAUCCAGACAAGACUGAGAUGCUGCUAGUAGGUGGUUCUUCUGACCAGAUGGUGGAUGUCCAACCUGUCCUGGAUGGGAUUGCACUCCCCCUGAAGGAGCAGGUUCGUACCUUAGGGGUUCUCCUAGAACCAUCUCUGUCACUUGAGUCUCAGGUAGCCUCAGUGGCACGGAAAGACUUCUACCAACUUUGGUUGGUGGCCCAGCUACGCCCCUAUCUGGACAGGGAUAACCUGGCUUCAGUUAUCCAUGCUCUGGUAACCUCCAAGUUAGAUUACUGCAAUGCGCUCUGCGUGGGGUUGCCUUUGAAGACAGUUCGGAAGCUGCAGCUUGUGCAAAAUGCAGCGGCCAGAUUGGUAACAGAGACCAGACGGUUCGAACGUAUAAAACCGAUUCUGGUCUGCUUGCAUUGUCUGCCUGUAUGUUUCCGAGCUGGAUUCAAGUGCUGGUUUUAACCUAUAAAGCCUUACAUGGCUUAGGACCACAAUACCUGAUGGACCGCCUCUCCUGACGUGAACCCACCCAUACACUACGCUCAACAUCCAAGGCCCUCCUCUGGGUGCCUCCUCUGCAGGAAGCUGGGAGUCUGGCAACAAGGGCCUUCUCAGUGGUGGCCUCCAAAUUAUGGAAUGAUUUGUCUGAUGAGGUGUGCCUGGCGCCAACACUAUUAUCUUUUCGGCGCCAAUCAAGACUUUCCUCUUCCCCCAGGCAUUUUAGCAU